CUAUAAUCUAAAACAUCUAUAUGGAGGACAGGGACCUUUAAUCUGGAUUUUUAUCAUUCCAAUUCUUUCUUAGCAAGUGAUCGUUAUUACACUUGGUCUUGAAGAGGCAAAGAAAAUAUAAAGAAAUAGGAAACGAGUAGGGUAUCAAUGCCAUGUUUUUCAACUGCUAGUUCUGCGAUAGGGAAAUGGGAACAUUUUGGUGGCAGUGAAGAAAUCACAAAGCAGUCGGUGCGUGGGGGCUAAGUUUUUAACUAGGAGAUGGCGGUGGUCAUGCUAUGUUGAUGGCGCGGUACGGCAGAUGCGGUUACUAAGAAAACUUUCAUGUUCUUUCUUCUCUUCAGAAAAGGGUAGCAGACACACCAUUCUUGAUGAGGUCAAGAUAUUGGAAUCACAUGGAGCAGUAAAUAUUUUAUUGGGUCAUCCUUCAUAUCAAUUGUAGUCAUGUCGAGGAAGUUUGUGAAGUAGUAGAAGAUAUAAAUAUUAAAUCAGUGAUGUUCUACCAUGAUCGAAGAAAAACAUAGUGCAUCAAGGAACUUGAGAACAAGCAUAGAAUAGAGAAAAGGAAACACAAGGAUUAGGAGAAAGUUUUUUUUUUUAAGGGGAUUAGGAGAAAGUUGAAGAGGUAAGUAUACAUGUUUUGAAAUAAACUUUGGUGAAGUAUACAUGUAACAAACUUCAUUUAAGGGUUCUGAAACAAAAAGCGCUAAAGAGAUUAAUUGUGCAUUUGGA